AUGGGAGAUCUUAAUGAUAUACUUUAUGAUGUCGAUAAAAGUUCUCCCUUUGUGAAUUACUCUCGCUUGCAUGCUUUUCGUUAUAUUGUGAAACAAUGUGGUCUGAUUGAUCUGGGAUAUAGUGGCCCUGCUUAUACUUGGACAAACAAAAGGUAUUCUUCCAACCCAACCAUGGAAAGACUUGAUAGAUGUCUAGUUAAUGCUGAAUGUGUUGGAAAUAUGCCCUAG
rnacentral:rRNA from 1 species